GACGAACGCUGGCGGCGUGCUUAACACAUGCAAGUCGAACGAUGAAACCGGAGCUUGCUCCGGUGGAUUAGUGGCGAACGGGUGAGUAACACGUGAGUAACCUGCCCUUGACUCUGGGAUAACUGCGGGAAACUGUAGCUAAUACCGGAUACGACCCUCGGAGGCAUCUCCUGGGGGUGGAAAGAAUUUCGGUCAAGGAUGGACUCGCGGCCUAUCAGCUAGUUGGUGAGGUAACGGCUCACCAAGGCGACGACGGGUAGCCGGCCUGAGAGGGUGACCGGCAACACUGGGACUGAGACACGGCCCAGACUCCUACGGGAGGCAGCAGUGGGGAAUAUUGCACAACGGGCGCAAGCCUGAUGCAGCAACGCCGCGUGAGGGAUGACGGCCUUCGGGUUGUAAACCUCUUUUAGUAGGGAAGAAGCGAAAGUGACGGUACCUGCAGAAAAAGCACCGGCUAACUACGUGCCAGCCGCCGCAGUAA
rnacentral:rRNA from 1 species